rnacentral:rRNA from 1 species
UACGGGGGGGGCAAGCGUUGUUCGGAAUUACUGGGCGUAAAGGGUUCGUAGGUGGCCUGCUAAGUCAGACGUGAAAUCCCUCAGCUUAACUGGGGAACUGCGUCUGAUACUGGUGGGCUUGAAUAUGGAAGAGGGUCGCGGAAUUCCCGGUGUAGAGGUGAAAUUCGUAGAUAUCGGGAGGAACACCAGUGGCGAAGGCGGCGACCUGGGCCAAUAUUGACGCUGAGGUGCGAAAGCGUGGGGAGCAAACAGG